rnacentral:rRNA from 1 species
AUGAAGCAUGCACACCAUGCAAGCUGUCCGAUGGAACAAGUUUUGGUGCAAGCUAAGCUCAAUCAACAAGUUGGAGAACAGCUAAGGAUGCAUGGCAGCUGCUUAGCUAGCAGCAGCAGUGGAUGGCUAGUUGCAUUCUUGCAUGCAUGCAUGAUAGGUACGGUGCACUCACCGUGGGGUAGGGCCACUUGGCGUGUUCCUGCCACCAUUGCUUCAGUAUGGUGGUGGUGUCCCCAGGCAACUUCCCGGCCCUCCUCUUCCGGAGUAUCUCCUCCCUCACGUCCCCAAUCCUUGACUUGA